rnacentral:rRNA from 1 species
ACCUUCUCUCCUUCCUUGCGCGCGCCCGGAACCCUAGCCACGGCACUCGAGGAGUGCUGGUGGUGCACCAAGCGUUGCCUCAAUAGGGGCAUCAGCGGCGGCCCUGACCUCAUCCUCGACGACGCCCCGCUUCUCAUCCUCCAUGGCGUCAAGGCCGACAAGGAGUCCGGCAAGGUCGCCGACCCGGAGUCCACCGACAACCCCGUUGUGCUCGCCAUCAUCCGCACAAGUACCGCAAGAUGGAGGAGAGGCUCGUCGGCGUCUCCGAGGAGACCACCACCGGCGUCAAGCAGAUGCAGGAGUCCAGCACUCUCCUAUUCC